rnacentral:pre_miRNA from 1 species
AUUGAAAUCAGAUUUUCAGCACUGGAAGGUUUGGUUUAGCUGCUGUGCACCGUCAUGUCGACACAGUCAGAUCUAACUCUUCCAGUUCUAAAGCUGAUAGCGAAC